rfam:Tyto alba contig47243, whole genome shotgun sequence.
CCAAAGGCUCUUUUCAGAGCCACCCACAUAGCCAGAAAAGAGUUGU